rnacentral:rRNA from 1 species
CCCGCUGAACUUAAGCAUAUCAAUAAGCGGAGGAAAAGAAAGUAACGACGAUUCCCUUAGUAGCGGCGAGCGAAAUGGGAAAAGCUCAACUUUAAAAUCUGGGCAUUUUAUGCUCCGAAUUGUAGUUUGUGGAAACAUUCUCUGGGCAAGGCUGGCUGGCAAAGAUCUCUGGAAUGAGACACCAAAGAGGGUGAUAGUCCCGUUUAAGCUAGCUGGCUUCAACUUGUUCAAUAUGAGAUGUUUUUGAAGAGUCGGGUUGUUUGGGAAUGCAGCCCUAAAUGGGAGGUAAAUUUCUCCUAAAGCUAAAUAUAAGUAAGAGACCGAUAGCAAACAAGUACCGUGAGGGAAAGGUGAAAAGAACUUUGAAAAGAAAGUUAAAAGUACGUGAAAUCGUCAAAAGGGAAACGUUCCCAGGCAUCAUAACUGACCAGAAAUCAGCUAGAAGGAGUAACAUUCUUCUGGUGCACUUUCUGGUUUGGUGAGUCAACAUCAGUGGUGGUGAGUAGUAUUAAUUUCUUGGGGAAUGUGGCCUGAUACUUCGGUGUCAGGUGUUAAGCCCUAAUUAGUUUGAUACUAUCACCCAGCUACUGAGGAAAUCUGGCAGUGAUGGCUAAUAUGGCAGCACAUGGCAACUAAUCUGUUCAUCUUGGUGUAUUCUUUGUUAUUCUUCUUUUUGAGGGGUAGGAAAGGUAUGCUAAUGACUGGGCAGAAUGAAGGGCUUAAUGUGUUACAUCGCUUAAGAUGUUGACCUGAUGACUUUGAACGACCCGUCUUGAAACACGG